rnacentral:rRNA from 1 species
UACGGGGGGGGCAAGCGUUGUUCGGAAUUACUGGGCGUAAAGGGCGCGUAGGCGGUUCGCUAAGUUGAAUGUGAAAACUCUGGGCUUAACCCAGAGCCUGCAUUCAAUACUGGCGGGCUAGAGUUCUGGAGGGGAUAGCGGAAUUCCUGGUGUAGCGGUGAAAUGCGUAGAUAUCGUAAGGAAGACCAGUGGCGAAGGCGGGUCUCUGGACAGUUCCUGACGCUGAAGCACGAAGGCCAGGGGAGCAAACGGG